rnacentral:rRNA from 1 species
CGGGGUGAGUAACGCGUGGAUAACCUGCCUCACACUGGGGGAUAACAGUUAGAAAUGACUGCUAAUACCGCAUGAGCGCACAGUACCGCAUGGUACGGUGUGAAAAACCCAGGUGGUGUGAGAUGGAUCCGCGUCUGAUUAGCCAGUUGGCGGGGUAACGGCCCACCAAAGCGACGAUCAGUAGCCGACCUGAGAGGGUGACCGGCCACAUUGGGACUGAGACACGGCCCAA